rnacentral:rRNA from 1 species
CUCAGGAUGAACGCUAGCUACAGGCUUAACACAUGCAAGUCGAGGGGCAGCAUCAUCAAAGCUUGCUUUGAUGGAUGGCGACCGGCGCACGGGUGAGUAACACGUAUCCAACCUGCCGACAACACUGGGAUAGCCUUUCGAAAGAAAGAUUAAUACCGGAUGGCAUAGUUUUUCCGCAUGGGAUAAUUAUUAAAGAAUUUCGGUUGUCGAUGGGGAUGCGUUCCAUUAGGCAGUUGGCGGGGUAACGGCCCACCAAACCAACGAUGGAUAGGGGUUCUGAGAGGAAGGUCCCCCACAUUGGAACUGAGACACGGUCCAAACUCCUACGGGAGGCAGCAGUGAGGAAUAUUGGUCAAUGGACGAGAGUCUGAACCAGCCAAGUAGCGUGAAGGAUGACUGCCCUAUGGGUUGUAAACUUCUUUUAUACGGGAAUAAAGCUAGCCACGUGUGGCUUUUUGUAUGUACCGUAUGAAUAAGGAUCGGCUAACUCCGUGCCAGCAGCCGCGGUAAUACGGAGGAUCCGAGCGUUAUCCGGAUUUAUUGGGUUUAAAGGGAGCGUAGGCGGGUUGUUAAGUCAGUUGUGAAAGUUUGCGGCUCAACCGUAAAAUUGCAGUUGAUACUGGCGACCUUGAGUGCAACAGAGGUAGGCGGAAUUCGUGGUGUAGCGGUGAAAUGCCUAGAUAUCACGAAGAACUCCGAUUGCGAAGGCAGCUUACUGGAUUGUAACUGACGCUGAUGCUCGAAAGUGUGGGUAUCAAACAGGAUUAGAUACCCUGGUAGUCCACACAGUAAACGAUGAAUACUCGCUGUUGGCGAUAUACGGUCAGCGGCCAAGCGAAAGCAUUAAGUAUUCCACCUGGGGAGUACGCCGGCAACGGUGAAACUCAAAGGAAUUGACGGGGGCCCGCACAAGCGGAGGAACAUGUGGUUUAAUUCGAUGAUACGCGAGGAACCUUACCCGGGCUUAAAUUGCAACUGACGGAACCGGAAACGGUUCUUUCUUCGGACAGUUGUGAAGGUGCUGCAUGGUUGUCGUCAGCUCGUGCCGUGAGGUGUCGGCUUAAGUGCCAUAACGAGCGCAACCCUUACGGGUAGUUACCAUCAGGUUAUGCUGGGGACUCUACCCGGACUGCCGUCGUAAGAUGUGAGGAAGGUGGGGAUGACGUCAAAUCAGCACGGCCCUUACGUCCGGGGCUACACACGUGUUACAAUGGGGGGUACAGAAGGCAGCUACACGGCGACGUGGUGCUAAUCCCGAAAGCCUCUCUCAGUUCGGAUUGGAGUCUGCAACCCGACUCCAUGAAGCUGGAUUCGCUAGUAAUCGCGCAUCAGCCACGGCGCGGUGAAUACGUUCCCGGGCCUUGUACACACCGCCCGUCAAGCCAUGAAAGCCGGGGGUACCUGAAGUACGUAACCGCGAGGAGCGUCCUAGGGUAAAACU